CCUUAUACAUGCAAGUCGAACGGUAACAUUGGUGCUUGCACCAGAUGACGAGUGGCGCACGGGUGCGUAACGCGUAUGCAACCUACCUUUUACUAGAGUAUAGCCCAGAGAAAUUUGGAUUAAUCCUCUAUAAUAUCUUAUAAUUUCAUGAUUAUUAGAUUAAAGUUUUAAUGGUAAAAGAUGGGCAUGCGUCCUAUUAGUUUGUAGGUGAGGUAACGGCUCACCUAGACUACGAUAGGUAGGGGCCCUGAGAGGGGGAUCCCCCACACUGGUACUGAGACACGGACCAGACUCCUACGGGAGGCAGCAGUAAGGAAUAUUGGACAAUGGACGAAAGUCUGAUCCAGCCAUGCCGCGUGCAGGAUGAAAGCCCUAUGGGUUGUAAACUGCUUUUAUACAGGAAGAAAAACUCCGACGUGUCGGAGCUUGACGGUACUGUAAGAAUAAGGAUCGG
rnacentral:rRNA from 1 species